rnacentral:rRNA from 1 species
CCUACGGGAGGCAGCAGUGGGGAAUAUUGGGCAAUGGGCGCAAGCCUGACGCAGCAACGCCGCGUGAAGGAAGAAGGCUUUCGGGUUGUAAACUACUUUUCGCAGGGACGAAGCAAGUGACGGUACCUGAGGAAUAAGCCACGGCUAACUGCGUGCCAGCAGCCGCGGUAAUACGUAGGUGGCAAGCGUUAUCCGGAUUUACUGGGUGUAAAGGGCGUGUAGGCGGGGCGGUAAGUCAGAUGUGAAAACCACGGGCUCAACCUGUGGCCUGCAUCUGAAACUGUAGUUCUUGAGUACUGGAGAGGCAGAUAGAAUUCCUGGUGUAGCGGUGAAAUGCGUAGAGAUUAGGAGGAACACCAGUGGCGAAGGCGGUCUGCUGGACAGCAACUGACGCUGAGGCGCGAAAGCGUGGGGAGCAAACAGGAUUAGAUACCCGUGUAGUC